CGACGGCAUCUCCUCCACGCCUCUUCAAUUGUCGGGACGAGCGUUUGCUCGUCCGAUUUYGGUUUUCCUGUGCGGACUACCUAUCGAGAUGGCAUUGAGUCRGCUAUGAUCGUUCUUUUCCCGCCUUGUCCCGCCGCUCCGCCUGGGGCGGCGGCAUCGGGUGGGCCCAAUCGCGCACGUUGCGUGUCGCACCGCGUUCGCCUUCGGUGGCGUUCGGGUUGACGACCCGCAGCGUUAUGCUCGAUCUCUCGGGUACGGUGCAUGACGUGGGUACGAGGCCGGCGGCCUCCGAGCUCCACAAACAAGCGUUCGUGCGAACGACUGUCGGUUCGGUAUUUGGCCGUGCUCCCGUAGCUCGGCUCAAGCCGUGCCGACGUCGAUG
rnacentral:misc_RNA from 1 species